rnacentral:tRNA from 1 species
GCCUGGGUGGCUCAGUUGGUUGAGCAUCCGACUUCGGCUCAGGUCACGAUCUCACAGUUCGUGGGUUCAAGCCCCGCGUCGGGCU